UACAGAGGGUGCAAGCGUUAAUCGGAAUUACUGGGCGUAAAGCGUGCGUAGACGGUUUUGUAAGCCAGAUGUGAAAUCCCCGGGCUUAACCUGGGAAUGGCAUUUGGGACUGCAAGGCUUGAGUGCGGCAGAGGAGACUGGAAUUCCUGGUGUAGCAGUGAAAUGCGUAGAUAUCAGGAGGAAUACCGAUGGCGAAGGCAGGUCUCUGGGCUGACACUGACGCUCAUGCACGAAAGCGUGGGGAGCAAACAGG
rnacentral:rRNA from 1 species